rnacentral:rRNA from 1 species
ACGAAGGGGGCGAGCGUUGUUCGGAAUUACUGGGCGUAAAGGGCGCGCAGGCGGCCUAUCCAGUCAGGUGUGAAAGCCCCGAGCUCAACUUGGGAACUGCACUUGAUACUGAUAGGCUAGAAAACGGAAGAGGGCAGUGGAAUUCCCAGUGUAGAGGUGAAAUUCGUAGAUAUUGGGAAGAACACCAGUGGCGAAAGCGGCUGCCUGGUCCGAUUUUGACGCUGAGGCGCGAAAGCGUGGGUAGCAAACAGG